AGUGAACGCUGGCGGCAGGCCUAACACAUGCAAGUCGAACGGCAGCACGGUAAGAGUUCGUCCUUACGGGUGGCGAGUGGCGGGUGGGUGAGACGUAGAUCAGCAUCUUAUUUUUCGUGGGGAACAACGUAGGGCCACAUACGCUAACAGAUAAUACGAUGAACGGCAGAGAGCAAGGGAGCUAGGGACUCUGGGUGACUGAAUUAGACGGUGCCGGAUUAGCUAGUUGGUGGGGUAAGGGCACACCAAGGCAACGCUACGUAGCAGAUCUGAGAGGAUGAUCGGCCACACUGGAACUGAGACACGGUCCAGACUCCUACGGGAGGCAGCAGUGGGGAAUAUUGGGCAAUGGGCGAAAGCCUGAUCCAGCCAUGCCGCGUGAGUGAUGAAGGUCUUCGGGUUGUAAAGCCCUUUUGUUGGGGAAGAACAGCAGUAUAAUAAUAUCCCGCUAUUCUGACGGUACCCAAAGAGUAAGCACCGGCUAACUUCGUG
rnacentral:rRNA from 1 species